rnacentral:rRNA from 1 species
GACGAACGCUGGCGGCGUGCCUAAUACAUGCAAGUCGAACGCAGUGGGGACGGGUGAGUAACACGUGGGUAACCUCCCAUCAGAGGGGAUACCACUUGGAAACCGGUGCUAAACCGAUACUGAUGGAUGGACCGGCGGUGCAUUAGCUAGGUGGGGAGGUAACGGCUCACGAAGGACACGAUGCAUAGCCGACCUGGGAGGGUGAGCGGCAACACUGGAACUGAGACACGGCCCAGACUCCUCAGGGAGGCAGCAGUAGGGAGUCUUCGGCAAUGGACGAAAGUCUGACCGAGCCACGCCGCGUGAGUGAAGAAGGUUGUCGGAUCGUAAAACUCUGUUGUUAGAGAAGCGGUAUCUACCCAGAAAGCCACGGCUAACUACGUGCCAGCCGCCGCGGUAAUUC